rnacentral:rRNA from 1 species
UUAAGCAUUCAAUAAGCGGAGGAAAAGAAACUAACAAGGAUUCCCCUAGUAACGGCGAGUGAAGCGGGAAAAGCUCAAAUUUGAAAUCUGGUAGCCUCAGGCUGCCCGAGUUGUAAUCUAUAGAAACGUUUUCCGCGUUGGCCCAUGUACAAGUCUCCUGGAAUGGAGCGUCAUAGAGGGUGAGAAUCCCGUCCUUGACAUGGACUACCAGUGCUUUGUGAUACGUUUUCAAAGAGUCGAGUUGUUUGGGAAUGCAGCUCAAAAUGGGUGGUAAAUUCCAUCUAAAGCUAAAUAUUGGCGAGAGACCGAUAGCGAACAAGUACCGUGAGGGAAAGAUGAAAAGCACUUUGGAAAGAGAGUUAAACAGUAUGUGAAAUUGUUGAAAGGGAAACGAUUGAAGUCAGUCAUGUCUAUUGGACUCAGCCGGUUCUGCCGGUGUACUUCCUUUAGAUGGGGUCAACAUCAGUUUUGAUCGCUGGAAAAGGGCAGGAGGAAUGUAGCACUCUCGGGUGAACUUAUAGCCUUCUGUCGUAUACAGUGGUUGGGACUGAGGAACGCAGCAUGCCUUUAUGGCCGGGGUUCGCCCACGUACAUGCUUAGGAUGUUGACAUAAUGGCUUUAAACGACCCGU